rnacentral:rRNA from 1 species
GCGGCGGACGGGUGAGUAACACGUGGGUAACCUGCCUGUAAGACUGGGAUAACUCCGGGAAACCGGAGCUAAUACCGGAUAGUUCCUUGAACCGCAUGGUUCAAGGAUGAAAGACGGUUUCGGCUGUCACUUACAGAUGGACCCGCGGCGCAUUAGCUAGUUGGUGGGGUAAUGGCUCACCAAGGCGACGAUGCGUAGCCGACCUGAGAGGGUGAUCGGCCACACUGGGACUGAGACACGGCCCAGACUCCUACGGGAGGCAGCAGUAGGGAAUCUUCCGCAAUGGACGAAAGUCUGACGGAGCAACGCCGCGUGAGUGAUGAAGGUUUUCGGAUCGUAAAGCUCUGUUGUUAGGGAAGAACAAGUGCGAGAGUAACUGCUCGCACCUUGACGGUACCUAACCAGAAAGCCACGGCUAACUACGUGCCAGCAGCCGCGGUAAUACGUAGGUGGCAAGCGUUGUCCGGAAUUAUUGGGCGUAAAGGGCUCGCAGGCGGUUUCUUAAGUCUGAUGUGAAAGCCCCCGGCUCAACCGGGGAGGGUCAUUGGAAACUGGGAAACUUGAGUGCAGAAGAGGAGAGUGGAAUUCCACGUGUAGCGGUGAAAUGCGUAGAGAUGUGGAGGAACACCAGUGGCGAAGGCGACUCUCUGGUCUGUAACUGACGCUGAGGAGCGAAAGCGUGGGGAGCGAACAGGAUUAGAUACCCUGGUAGUCCACGCCGUAAACGAUGAGUGCUAAGUGUUAGGGGGUUUCCGCCCCUUAGUGCUGCAGCUAACGCAUUAAGCACUCCGCCUGGGGAGUACGGUCGCAAGACUGAAACUCAAAGGAAUUGACGGGGGCCCGCACAAGCGGUGGAGCAUGUGGUUUAAUUCGAAGCAACGCGAAGAACCUUACCAGGUCUUGACAUCCUCUGACAACCCUAGAGAUAGGGCUUUCCCUUCGGGGACAGAGUGACAGGUGGUGCAUGGUUGUCGUCAGCUCGUGUCGUGAGAUGUUGGGUUAAGUCCCGCAACGAGCGCAACCCUUGAUCUUAGUUGCCAGCAUUCAGUUGGGCACUCUAAGGUGACUGCCGGUGACAAACCGGAGGAAGGUGGGGAUGACGUCAAAUCAUCAUGCCCCUUAUGACCUGGGCUACACACGUGCUACAAUGGACAGAACAAAGGGCUGCAAGACCGCAAGGUUUAGCCAAUCCCAUAAAUCUGUUCUC